rnacentral:snRNA from 1 species
AGCAGAACUGGCGAUGCGA